GUGACUCGGUCUAUAAAAAAAGUAAUCCUUGGUGUACACAUCACAGACAGGUCCAACUGCACAGACAGUGAUGUGAAGGUGCAACAGCGCCUCUACAACCUCAGGAGGCUGAUCCAGAGCGACUUAAAGUAAUAUCAUCUCUCAACAAGACUGGACCAGACCAGUCCAGACCAUACCGUCCUACCUCCAGAACUGCUCUUCAGAGAACAGAAGGGUCUUGCCGGUGUCUGGGAUGUACACAGCAGCAUCCACCCUCCGCACGGUCUUGGGGAGUCCCAGUUUAUGGAUGUAUUUGGGGUAGCCCUCCACUAGGCUGUAGCCGUUCAGGGCCCACAUUCUAAUACCUGGAAAAAUAUUAAAAUUUGUCAACGAAAUGAACCUAUGACUCUUGCACCGACAUCAAUUUGAUUAGAUAUCUACUGUAUAUGUGAUGGAAAUGAGCAAAGUAGAACUGUAAUUGCAUAUUCAAAAUGACAGAGGACUAUGCGAACAGUGUUGCCAGCAUGUAAUUCACCACUGAAUAUGAAGACCAUGUCUUUCUCAGGGUACUCAUAGGCAGCAUCCACUUUGUUGGGGAGGGAGGGCCAGGUGGAUUUGAUCAGGGUUUGCUCAGGCUCUGCAAACUGAGGAUGGAGACGCCAGUAGAACCUGUCAUCAAAUAGAAAACAUCAACACAUACAUUUUGUCAAUUUUAACCUUAUAGUUUGUGCAGAAAAGUUCUCAUGAAUGGACACACUCCCUACCUGUCUUUGAAGAUGAUUGUUUCUCCUCUGAGCUCAGUGACAGCAUCAAAACUCAACAUGGGGUCACAUUUGUUUGGGGCAUCUGGCUUGGGCUUCACUUUGCUGUCAUUGGGGUUCGGGCCUAAAGGAUUGAACCGCAUAAUGAGGGUUUCAAAAUAUGACUCCAGUGGGUGGAAUUACAGUACCAGUCAAAAGAUGGACACACAUACUCAUUCUACAUUGUAGAAUAAUAGUGAAGACAUCAAAACUAUGAAACAACAUGUAUGGAAUCAUGUAGUAACCAAAAAAGUGUUAAACAAACCCAAAUAUAUUUUAUACUUGAGAUUCUUCAAAGUAACCACCCUUUGCCUUGAUGACAACGUUGCAAACUUUUGGUAUUCUCUCAACCAGCUUCACCUGGAAUAUUAUUCCAACAGUCUUGAAGGAGUUCCCACAUGCUGAGCACUUGUUGGCUGCUUUUCCUUUGCUCUGCGGUCCAACUCAUCCCAAACCAUCUCAAUUGGGUUGAGGUCAGGUGAUUGUGGAGACCAGGUCAUCUGAUGCAGCACUCCAUCAUGCUCCUUCUUGGUCAAAUAGCCCUUGCACAGCCUGUAGGUGAAAUGGGUCAUUGUCCUGUUGAAAAAUAAAUGAUAGUCCCACAAAGCACAAACCAGAUGGGAUGGCGUACCGCUGCAGAAUGCUGUUGUAGCCAUACUGGUUAAGUGUGCCUUGAAUUGUAAAAAAAUUCACUGACAAUGUCACCAGCAAAGCACCACCACACCAUCACACUCCUCCAUGCUUCACAGUGGGAACCACACAUGCGGAAGUCAUCCGUUCACCUACUCUGCGUCUCACAAAGACAAGGCGAUUGGAACCAAAAAUCUCAAAUUUGCCAAGUGUGUGCAAAGCUGUCAUCAAGGCAACGGGUGGCUACUUCGAAGAAUCUCAUUGUUCGUGUUUCUGGGCCAAAGCAAGUCUCUUCUUCAUGUUGGUAUCCAUUAGUAGUGGUUUCUUUGCAACAAUUCGACCAUGAAGGCCUGAUUCACACAGUCUCCUCUGAACAGUUGAUGUUGAGAUGUGUCUGUUAUUAAACUCUGUGAAGCAUU